AUUGAACGCUGGCGGCAUGCCUUACACAUGCAAGUCGAACGGCAGCAUGGAAGAGCUUGCUCUUCUGAUGGCGAGUGGCGAACGGGUGAGUAAAGCAUCGGAACGUACCGUGUAGUGGGGGAUAACGUAGCGAAAGUUACGCUAAUACCGCAUACGCACUGAGGUGGAAAGCAGGGGAUCGCAAGACCUUGCGCUGAUUGAGCGGCCGAUAUCAGAUUAGCUAGUUGGUGAGGUAAAGGCUCACCAAGGCGACGAUCUGUAGCGGGUCUGAGAGGAUGAUCCGCCACACUGGAACUGAGACACGGUCCAGACUCCUACGGGAGGCAGCAGUGGGGAAUUUUGGACAAUGGGGCAACCCUGAUCCAGCCAUGCCGCGUGAGUGAAGAAGGCCUUCGGUUGUAAGUCGUCUUCGGUCCGGGAAGGAAAUACGUAGUGGGUUAAGUACCUAGUGUCGGAGUGACGGUACCGGCGAUAAGAAGACGACCGGCUAACCG
rnacentral:rRNA from 1 species